UACAGGGGUCUCGAGCGUUAAUCGGAAUCACUGGGCUUAAAGGGUGCGUAGGCGGAUCCGUAAGCGCUUUGUGAAAUCCCCCGGCUCAACCGGGGAAUUGCAGGGCGAACUGCGGAUCUUGAGGAAACUAGAGGCCGGUAGAACGAUUGGUGGAGCGGUGGAAUGCGUAGAUAUCAAUCGGAAUGCCAAAAGUGAAGACAGACGGCUGGGGUUUUCCUGACGCUGAGGCACGAAAGCGUGGGGAGCAAACCGG
rnacentral:rRNA from 1 species